GACGAACGCUGGCGGCAUGCCUAAUACAUGCAAGUCGAGCGAACAGAUGAAGUGCUUGCACUUCUGACGUUAGCGGCGAACGGGUGAGUAACACGUAAGGAAUCUACCUAUAAGCGGGGGAUAACAUUCGGAAACGGGUGCUAAUACCGCAUAAUAUCUUCUUCCGCAUGGAAGAAGAUUGAAAGACGGCUCUGCUGUCACUUAUAGAUGACCUUGCGGUGCAUUAGUUAGUUGGUGGGGUAACGGCCUACCAAGACGAUGAUGCAUAGCCGACCUGAGAGGGUGAUCGGCCGCAUUGGGACUGAGACACGGCCCAAACUCCUACGGGAGGCAGCAGUGGGGAAUCUUCCGCAAUGGGCGAAAGCCUGACGGAGCAAUGCCGCGUGAGUGAAGAAGGCCUUCGGGUCGUAAAACUCUGUUAUAAGAGAAGAACAAAUUGUAGAGUAACUGCUACAGUCUUGACGGUAUCUUAUCAGAAAGCCACGGCUAACUACGUGCCAGCAGCCGCGGUAA
rnacentral:rRNA from 1 species